GAUGAAGAACGUAGCGAAAUGCGAUAAGUAGUGUGAAUUGCAGAAUUCAGUGAAUCAUCGAAUCUUUGAACGCACAUUGCGCCCUUUGGUAUUCCAAAGGGCAUGCCUGUUCGAGCGUCAUUUGUACCCUCAAGCUUUGCUUGGUGUUGGGCGUCUUGUCUCUAGCUUUGCUGGAGACUCGCCUUAAAGUAAUUGGCAGCCGGCCUACUGGUUUCGGAGCGCAGCACAAGUCGCACUCUCUAUCAGCAAAGGUCUAGCAUCCAUUAAGCCUUUUUUUCAACUUUUGACCUUGGAUCAGGUAGGGAUACCCGCUGAACUUAAGCAUAUCAAUAAGCGGAGGA
rnacentral:misc_RNA from 1 species